CCAACAGGGAUUGCCUCAGUAACGGCGAGUGAAGCGGCAACAGCUCAAAUUUGAAAUCUGGCUCUUCCGGAGUCCGAGUUGUAAUUUGUAGAGGAUGUUUCGGGUGCGGCGCCGGUCUAAGUUCCUUGGAACAGGACGUCAUAGAGGGUGAGAAUCCCGUAUGUGACUGGCGAUCAAGCUCAUGUGAAGCUCCUUCGACGAGUCGAGUUGUUUGGGAAUGCAGCUCUAAAUGGGUGGUAAAUUUCAUCUAAAGCUAAAUACUGGCCAGAGACCGAUAGCGCACAAGUAGAGUGAUCGAAAGAUGAAAAGCACUUUGGAAAGAGAGUUAAAAAGUACGUGAAAUUGUUGAAAGGGAAGCGCUUGCAACCAGACUUGCUCGCGGGUGAUCAGCCAUGGUUUUCCACGGUGCACUCACCCGUGAUCAGGCCAGCAUCGGUUUGGGCGGUUGGAUAAAGGCCCCGGGAAUGUAGCUUCCUCCGGGGAGUGUUAUAGCCCGGGGUGCAAUGCAGCCAGCCUGGACCGAGGACCGCGCUUCGGCUAGGAUGCUGGCGUAAUGGUUGUAAGCGACCCGUCUUGAAACA
rnacentral:rRNA from 1 species